rnacentral:rRNA from 1 species
CCUACGGGAGGCAGCAGUGGGGAAUAUUGGACAAUGGGGGAAACCCUUAUCCAGCGACGCCGCGUGAGGGAAGAAGGUUUUCGGAUUGUAAACCUCUGUCAGUGGGGACGAUAAUGACGGUACCCACGGAGGAAGCCACGGCUAACUACGUGCCAGCAGCCGCGGUAAUACGUAGGUGGCAAGCGUUGUCCGGAAUUACUGGGUGUAAAGGGAGCGUAGACGGCAGAGCAAGUCUGAAGUGAAAGCCCGCGGCCCAACUGCGGGACUGCUUUGGAAACUGCCCGGCUAGAGUGCUGGAGAGGUAAGCGGAAUUCCUAGUGUAGCGGUGAAAUGCGUAGAUAUUAGGAGGAACACCAGUGGCGAAGGCGGCUUACUGGACAGUAACUGACGUUGAGGCUCGAAAGCGUGGGGAGCAAACAGGAUUAGAUACCCCGGUAGUC